UACGGAGGGAGCUAGCGUUGUUCGGAAUUACUGGGCGUAAAGCGCACGUAGGCGGCUUUGUAAGUUAGAGGUGAAAGCCCGGGGCUCAACCCCGGAAUUGCCUUUAAGACUGCAUCGCUUGAAUCCAGGAGAGGUGAGUGGAAUUCCGAGUGUAGAGGUGAAAUUCGUAGAUAUUCGGAAGAACACCAGUGGCGAAGGCGGCUCACUGGACUGGUAUUGACGCUGAGGUGCGAAAGCGUGGGGGAGCAAACAGGG
rnacentral:rRNA from 1 species